AGCACCCAGCACAGCACAGCACCCAGCACAGCACCCAGCACAGCACCCAGCACAGCACCUAGCACAGCACAGCACCCUCCAGACCUGAGCCCCCUGCACGGCGGGGACACACAGCAAGACAGAACCUCAGGGACGGGCAGCCCUGCCGUGAGAAUUUCACCAAGUAUUUAAGAGCCGCAGCGGGGCCUUCCUGGAGGCCAGGGGCUCUGUGACAGCACAGCAGCUAUAUAUCAGCCUGCCAAGUGGAGAAGAGGUCUGCAACAGCUGACUGACAGUGACUCUAAAGCUCAGCUGACCCUUCCAGGAAAGACCUUGCAAUCCCUCUGGACUUCCUUUCGCUCUGUUUGCGAGCAGUGCCUUCCUGUGCUGGGCUGGCACCGAGCAGCAGACGCUGUCGUCACGGAACAGCUGCACGGGAGCCCUCCAGUCACAAGGCUGCACAGGGCCGGCCCUGGGCUGGGGCGCGGGGCUCGGCAGCUCGGUGAGCCGUCCCCGCGUGCUCCUUGCCCGGCGGGAUGGGCAGCGCGGCGCCGCGCGGGGCAGCCGGCAGAGGGCGCCGUCGUCCCGGGAACGCGCCGCAGCCGGAGCCGUCAUCCCGCGCGGACCGAGCGCUGCGGAGCCAGCCCUCAGCUUCAGUUCACCGCGCUCUGCUGAGACGUUGAACUGAGCUGCUACUACAAUGCUGCCAAAACUUCUGCUCUCUACUACUGAGAAAUUAAAACUGGUUUCUUCCACGUCAGGAUAUCAGCUUCCAAAUUUAAGUUUUGUUUUGGCUUUGUUUAUAACCUAAAAAACUUGGGAUUCUUUUUGUAUCUUCUCCCUUUUAGAUUCACACAUUAUAAACUUUCCUUUUAACUUCCGCCUUUAUUCCAAGUGAAAGACGAGCAGUUUCGGUAUUAAUUUCAAGGCUCCAGGAGGUGGAGCUUUAGAACAGACACCGCAACCCGGUGGACUGGGCACUCCGAUGCCAUCGGUGUGUCACCCCAGAGAUCUGUAUUUCAGAACUGUUUGCUCCUUCCUGGCCCAAAGUUGGAAAGCGCUGUAACGCCAGUACUGCACCUUGCAGGUUACAGCAAGCUGAGAGUUACAUCCCUGGUUCUCUGAGCUGGACCCAUCCUGGCAGGGAUUCCUUAGCAAGUGUGCUGCAGGAAAUCAAGGGAAUGGAUACAGUGCACCAGAUCUGCUUCAUUUCUCAGCCUCUUAAAACACCUCUACGGCCCCCCAUGUAGUGCAAACCAUUGCAGCAAGACUGUGCAGGUGGAAGGGGCCUCAUGAAAUCUCCCAGAAUAACAGAAAGUUUUUCAGUAUGAUGUGAUCUCACAAGAAGGUAACGAUCUACUCUCUUAGCCCAUAGAGCUUAGGGGGAAAAAAAAAAAGUUAUAGAUUUAUAAGACAAUAUGUAAAGAGACUAGGUGUCAGGGUAGUUGUCAAUGAGGCAGCUGAUACUAUCCACAGAUAGUUUCUUUUUUUUUUAUCUCUUCUUUUACUUAUUAAAGGCUUCUUAAAUCUAGUUUCAGAAGAGGUGGGCUUAACCUCAGUAGCUUGAGUUCUUUUUGACGACUAUACUUACUCUUUAAGGCACUUGCCUGUCAGGAUUGUGGUUUUUUUCUUCCUGAUAUUCAUCACAAACUUUAUUUCAUCCCAUUUCCCCAAGAGAUACUUACAAGUCUCCUAGCUCUUUUAACAUACAUCUGUUUUCCUGCGCAAGAUCUUUUCCUUUGAAGCCCCUCCCCUCACUUGUUUCAAUUUUUUUUUCUUAUUAUUUAUUUUAUUAUCUUUGCUUACAAAUCAGUCCCAGUGCUCUUCUCUGAACUUCUGGCCCUGUGUUGCAUUUCAUUAAUAAUUUAUAAAGAUGCUAAAGAGACGCACUAGGUUCUCCACCAAGGUAAGUAACUGCUUAUUUGUGAGACAGAUUCCCACUUUCUGCUGGUGUCAGUUAUCUCCUUGGGGAUCUUACCAAGGAAUGGCUGUCCGUGCUUACAUGGGCCCUGCUCCGUGCAGUUACCGCACCCAGGAUCUCGCCUCCAGGUGCUGUGUUGCUGGGGGGUCCUCAUCCAGCAGUCCCAAGUAAAUGGCUGCACUCACGUUCAGUGAUUCUAAUGAACUCCGGAACAAUCCUUGCAGUAGGGUGCUGACAUAUCAUUUCCCUACCAACACAAGUGCUCUGAUUGCUGGCUUUUUGGGUGAUGCCCAAAUUUGCUCUUCUUUUUUUUCUUGAACCCGUACAACUUUAACUCUCUCUUCCUGCAGGGAAUAAACUAAAAUCUUGCGGACAAUACAAAACUUCUGUUAUUAUGAUGCAUUUCUUUCUGUAGAAUAGUGUAACUUACAACAAAAUGUACUUUAAACAACAACAACAAAAAAAGCUUUUUAUUUUUUUUUUGGUGCUCUAGGAAUGUCAGAAAACAUCUGUACCUCUCAGUCUUAUCAGUUUCUUUUUACUUCUGUUCUUUUGGUUAUUUAUUCCCUUCUACAUUCUCUUUGACUUUCAACUCAGUCAAAGAGCUGCGCUUCAUGUACCAAAGGCCUUCCUCUUCAGAUCUCUCUUUCUAACUGCAGCUCUUGGCUGCCUUGUUUAGAUACAAGUACUCAAAGGGGUCUGUGUGUGGCAGGGACUAGGGCUCGGUGCAGUCUCUGUUUAGAGCUGUGGCAGUUACACUGCUAAAAUAGACAACUUGGCUGUGUGAUCUUAAAGUGCUUGUUCUGUAAACACAGAAGUUCUGCAUUACUGAGGUACUAUGCAAGAGUAUUCACAGAACCCUUAGGCAGGUGUUCUCACUCGGAGACACAUAGAGCUAUCUCACCUAGCUGCAUAUGAACCUGGAGAAUUACGAAGUUUGAGAGCUAAAUUAUUCUCUAGUUGCUAAGUUACCAUCUUUUAAACAUAAAUAUUUUGUUCUGCCAAUUUAAAAUGUUUACAGUGGAGGUUCACCUUUAUGUAUUAUUAAGUUUUUGCAUAAUUUUUAAUUAGUGAAAUUAUCUUUCUAUUUAGGAACAUAAUUAAAAACAUUAACCUUAUCUUUGCAUUUUCUCAACACCUUCAUGAAAGGGGCAGCAUAUAGACAGGAGUUUUGUAGUGCCUAGCAAGAAGGCCUCAGCCACAGAUUAGUCACAGCUUUCUACAUUAACCCAAGUAAAAACAGAAAUUCAAAAAUAAUUCAAACUUCUUUGGAAAAUUUGGACUUAGAAAGCAACCCUUUUCUUCACACGAGUGUGUAGUGAGGAUCUUCCCUGUUAGUAUCUAAUUUAUUUCACCUGAGAGUAUGUCUGCCAGCUGGUAGCAGUAGAAAUUCAUCAGUCUAACAGUACUGGAAUAGAACAGAAAGAGACUGGACUUCUACAAUGUUUGAGUGGAAUUUUUGCUGUUUCUAUAGAGGCAAGGGUGAUGUCUUCUCUCUGAUUUGACUCUUAGUGAAAAACAAGCUACUAUUUUCAAUUCAAUAAAACUUGCCUUUUCUGUUUCUGCUAAAUGAAAGUGAUGUGAUGUUGUAGCAAUAAUGCUAAGUCAUGGCUUGAACCAGUGAUUGAGCACCUGGUGGGAAGGCAGGGCCAACAACCCUGGGGAGCUCAGGUGCAUGCAAUGUACCUGAGUGACAGGAAGUGAUGGAGCCAGGAGCCACCCCUUCCCAGACUUCAUUUAAGCGUUGGCAGUGGAUGUAGGGAUGUUUUGCUGGAGGACCCUGUGUACCUGAGGCCUUCUGAAGUUCUAAUUACCUGAGUUAUACCACCAACUGCCUGGGAACUCAAGCAUGGCCCAUCUGAAGAAAACCUCAGGGAACAGCCACAGUCAAAUGUUCAGGUGCACAGGAGGUAUCCGAUUUCUAACCCUCCUUAGCAGAAAAAACCCAGAAGACGAGCAGACCUUGAAUGAAAUGAAAUUUAAGGCUUUUAGGAACAAAGGAAAUAAAGUACAAUGAGUUGGGGGUAUGAAGAAGCCUGUGUGUGCUGCCCUGUUUCACACUGUCUGUGAGGCCAUGCUGAGAUCUGAGAGGACUUUCCAGCUCCUGAAGCCCCAGCACCACCGCGGUGCGGACGCGGCUGUGAGUCCAGAGCAGCGGAGCGCGGCCGUGCCGGGAUGUGGCCGUACCGGAGAGCUUACUCAUGAGGCUGAAAUUUCUGAUAUCGGAGGAGAGGAGAGAAGCUGGUUUGGAGCAGAGGACCUGAGUGAUAUCCAUGUCCAUGCUGGUUUUUUCUCUGCAUCUGUCUCUGUUGCACUGGUGGUGUCAGUAAGCACAAGCUGGAAUGACAUACAGAUGGUUUUAAUUCGCACCGAGGACAGUCUUUGCCUCUAUGAAUAAGAAAGCAUUUUUAAGAACAUCCUUCCUCUACUGAACUGAGUGCUCCUAGUUUCCAGUUCUGCAGUACGUGGUCAGCAGGAUCAGAGCUGGGCCUACAAGGGCAUUCUGCUCUGCCCCCGACCGUGCUGUUGGCGUGUUGCAGGACGCGGACCUGUUAGUGCUGGAGAGCUGAGCAGCCCCAGUGAGCACACCAAAGUACCAGACUGGUAUCAGCUCUGUGAUCAGCCCAAGGACCAGGUGAGAGGCGAUGCCAAGGGGCGCAAAGCGGCACUGGAUGCCAUAAGCCAGCACAAUAGCCAGGCUGCCAAAGGAAGGAAGUGGAAUUCUGGGCAGUUUGGAGGUUUUGAAGACAACCUUGCAAUGCUCAACGGUUCCUGAGCAGCCUGCUCUAAAUCGUCUUGAAGCAAGCUCAGCCUUCAGAAGGAGUCUGAAGAGAUUCAUGGAGGCCGGCAAUGGCACUGUUCCUGGGGAAGACUGGAGAAGGAAAGCUCAAAAUUACCCAUAUAAACAGCUCCUGAGGAACGAAUGGCUAACGAAAGGAAGAAGCUGUCUUGAGCGUUUGCAGUGCCAUGAUGUUCUGCCAUCCAAAAGGGAAUUAAUCGCUGAGUGGCAUGAAGAGCGCACAGCAGAGACAGCAGGCAUGGUCCAGACCUCAGGGGACUAAUUACAUCCUUAAAGGCCAGCGCUGUCUGACGGCGUGGUCGCGAGCGAUCGCACGGACAGCAGCGAGACUUCCUUCCACAGCCAAACGCCUUGGCUGACUGCAGGAAGGACUUCCAAGCUGAAGGCCGCCCAUCCCAUCCUGCUUCCCAGCCAGACCCCAGCUGUGUGCGCACCGGGAAAGCCAAUAUGAAAGGUCUUCACAAACAAGCUCUAAGAAUGUAAAACUGAUACCUGGAGGUACAGAACAAUUUACUCCAAAAUAUCCCACACAGCCCAGCUAGCAGUUUCCAGAGAACCGCCUGAAAGUCGCCAGCGAGCAUCCAUGUUGCACGAGGACUGCUAGACUGAAUUCCUGAACUUGCUGAGUGACAGAAACUGCUCUGGGAAAGUCUGCAAGAGCAAAUGAAAAUGCAUCAUCACAACACUGAAUUCAGAGUGAAGGAAAAUACUGUCGGUAAGAUGCUGGAUAGACUGAAGAUAUUCAGGGUUGAUGGACCAGAACCUCUUGCAUCCAUACCUGUGACAGAUGAAAAAGGUCAGGAUUAAAUGAAAGCGAGCUGCAUCCAGUCAAAAGCCUCAAGCAAGAGCAACAUCAGCUUUCUCUUCUGGCCUUACACAUCCAGUGCACGUGCCUGGCAGAGUUCUGCAGACCUGAUGAGCAGGUAAGCCAGGGGGUUUCCCAAUGCAAUAUGAAACUACACUGGCAAUAGCAGCAGACUGCAAAAAAUGCAAGGCCAGUGGAAUUACAUACACCAUGACCCAUCAUCAAACAUCCUCACCCUGAAUCCAUUGUAAUGACAGCGGCCUCUCAGUACCUUCCAGCUCUGUGCUACACGGUGCCACCCUCGGGCCAUGCUUCCUAAUGCCAUGCUGUGCUGCAAAAAGCUCUGGGGGGCACAACCAUCUGGCUGCCUUCCACAACGCCUGUGCUGCGGCUGCUCUGCUGCUUUCAAUGUCAUUUGUUGGAUAUUUUCUGCUUGACAAACCAGCUUUCUGUUAACUGCAGUGCCCUUGCUCCUGGGGGUAAAAAUGACACCCCUAAAUGCUUUACUUGGGUAAAAUUAACCAGCAUUACCAAAAUCCAGCUUACUGGUAUAUUUUUUAUACCGAAACCUGAGAAUGCUGUGGGAGACGAAGUAUGCCAUGUGAAACUGCAUGCUGGAUUCCUUCUGUUUGGCUACCUCCUGUGAAACCAGUAGCAACCUGAGAUUUAUUUUCAAAGGCAGUGGUACGCUUUUGGCUCUACACUUCAAUGGAAAGGUGAAGAGACACAUGGAAGAAAAUAUCCAUUUUCUGGGUGAAGAUGGCGCAGAGAGAAAGCCAAGACAGCUGGUAACCUUCUGUAAACCAGACACCAACUUUGACUUCAUAUGGCGAAAACGGCAAGAUGCUUUCAUUCCUAAAGACGUAUCUGGGUGUGUCAGGAGAGGUGACU